rnacentral:tRNA from 1 species
AAGGGUGUAGCUCAGUGGUAGAGCACGUGCUUAGCAUGCACGAGGUCCUGGGUUCAAUAUCCAGCACCUCCA